GGUGCAUGUGAUGACACUGGCGACCAAAGUCUGAUAAAAAUGAUUGCUACCUUAUUGUCUGAUGCACC
ensembl:snoRNA